UCCAUAGCUCAGUUGGGAGAGCACCUGCCUUGCAAGCAGGGGGUCGAGGGUUCGAAUCCCUUUGGAUCC
rnacentral:tRNA from 1 species